CACGUAGGGGGCAAGCGUUGUCCGGAUUUAUUGGGCGUAAAGAGCUCGUAGGUGGUUCGGUAAGUCAGAUGUGAAACCUCCAGGCUCAACCUGGAGACGCCACUUGAUACUGCUGUGACUGGAGUCCGGUAGGGGAGCGUGGAAUUCCUGGUGUAGCGGUGAAAUGCGCAGAUAUCAGGAGGAACACCAGCGGCGAAGGCGGCGCUCUGGGCCGGUACUGACACUGAGGAGCGAAAGCGUGGGUAGCAAACAGG
rnacentral:rRNA from 1 species